rnacentral:rRNA from 1 species
CCUACGGGUGGCAGCAGUGGGGAAUAUUGCGCAAUGGGCGAAAGCCUGACGCAGCGACGCCGCGUGAGGGAUGAAGGUCUUCGGAUCGUAAACCUCUGUCAGCAGGGAAGAACGGUCACUGUGCUAAUCAGCAGUGAAUUGACGGUACCUGCAAAGGAAGCACCGGCUAACUCCGUGCCAGCAGCCGCGGUAAUACGGAGGGUGCGUGCGUUAAUCGGAAUUACUGGGCGUAAAGCGCUCGUAGGCGGUAUGUCAAGUCAAGGGUGAAAUCCCCGCGCUCAACGUGGGAACUGCCUUUGAAACUGGCAAACUGGAGUGUGUGAGAGGAUAGUGGAAUUCCAGGUGUAGGAGUGAAAUGCGUAGAUAUCUGGAAGAACAUCAGUGGCGAAGGCGACUAUCUGGCACAUAACUGACGCUGAGGAGCGAAAGCGUGGGUAGCAAACAGGAUUAGAUACCCUGGUAGUC